rnacentral:rRNA from 1 species
GACGAACGCUGGCGGCGUGCUUAACACAUGCAAGUCGAACGCUGAAGCUCAGCUUUUGUUGGGUGGAUGAGUGGCGAACGGGUGAGUAACACGUGAUUAACCUGCCUCCUUCUUUGGGAUAACGCGCGGAAACGGGUGCUAAUACUGGAUAUUCACUGAUCUUCUCAUGUGUGUCGGUGGAAUGGGUUUUUCUGGUGAGUGAUGGGCCCGCGGCCUAUCAGUGUGUUGGUGUGGUGAUUGGCUACCAAGGCUUUGACGGGUAGCCGGCCUGACAGGGUGACCGGUCACGUUGGGCGUGACAUACGGCCCAGACUGGUACGAGAGGGAGCAGUGGGGAAAAGUGCGAAAGGGGGGCAAGGCUGAUGCAGCGACGUCGCGUGAGGGAUGGGGGCCUUAGGGUUGUGAACAUCUUUAGAUCAUGGUCAAGCCGGAACAAUGGUUGUGGUGAGGGUAGUGGGUAAAGAAGCGCCGGCUAACUACGUG